GGUUGUAUAGUGUAAUGGUUAGCACGUGAGAUUUUGAAGAUGUUCAGUCAUCAUCAUGUCUUCUUGAGAUCCCGGUUCGAUCCCGGGUACGACCU
rfam:Pseudogymnoascus pannorum VKM F-4513 (FW-928) contig_598, whole genome shotgun sequence.